CGUAUUAUAUUGCGUUACGGUAAUCAACGGUUCAGGCAAGUUUUUCAAGUUCUUUUUACUUAAACUCUUUUAAGAGUGGUUUCAGACAGAUAUGCUUAUGAAUUGUACUCUGUACAUAUUGCAUGUAUUCAUCAGGUAUGAAAGGCUGAUCACCUUCAUUACCAGUCAGUUCAGAUAUAAUUGUUAUGUUCAUUUUCAAUGUUCAUUCAGCUUUGAAAUUUUGUUCAUGCUAAUUCACAACUACAUUGUGAAGGAUAGCCAGCUUAUUAUUCAAACUCUUUCAAUCAUGAUAUAUCUUUACCUUUUUUUUUUUAAACUUGCUGGGCAACUUUCAUGCUCACCCUUGCUAUAUCAUGAUAAAACAUUGCAGAUAAGGCGAAUACGGCCAGUUACAGGAAAAGGAAAAUAUCAAGUUCAGCUUGGGAUAGAAUGUGAAGCUAAUUUGUAAAAGUAUGGUUGAAGAAUAGUAUUGUCAUGUGUUAGAUAGUUUAUGAUUGUGUAUUAGUUAAGGUUACUCGAUUUUGGGGAAAUAGUGUGUAAAGUUUAAUGUAUAAACAAUUUAUGUUUAUAUCUUCUGCAACAGUUGUAGAAAUAGCGUACCGGAUCCGCGACGAUUAGGACCCGGAUCUGGGGCUAUCACAUAGUGAG
rnacentral:lncRNA from 1 species